rnacentral:rRNA from 1 species
UACGUAGGGUGCGAGCGUUAAUCGGAAUUACUGGGCGUAAAGCGUGCGCAGGCGGUUCGUUAAGUCAGCUGUGAAAGCCCCGGGCUCAACCUGGGAAUGGCGGUUGAAACUGGCGAACUUGAAUCUGGCAGAGGGGGGUAGAAUUCCACGUGUAGCAGUGAAAUGCGUAGAGAUGUGGAGGAACACCGAUGGCGAAGGCAGCCCCCUGGGUCAAGAUUGACGCUCAUGCACGAAAGCGUGGGGAGCAAACAGG